rnacentral:rRNA from 1 species
GGGCGUAAGAAGCUCGUAGGCGGUUUGUCGCGUCUGUCGUGAAAGUCCGGGGCGUAACCCCGGAUCUGCGGUGGGUACGGGCAGACUACAGUGCAGUAGGGGAGACUGGAAUUCCUGGUGUAGCGGUGGAAUGCGCAGAUAUCAGGAGGAACACCGAUGGCGAAGGCAGGUCUCUGGGCUGUAACUGACGCUGAGGAGCGAAAGCAUGGGGAGCGAACAGGAUUAGAUACCCUGGUAGUCCAUGCCGUAAACGUUGGGCACUAGGUGUGGGGACCAUUCCACGGUUUCCGCGCCGCAGCUAACGCAUUAAUUGCCCCGCCUGGGGAGUACGGCCGCAAGGCUAAAACUCAAAGGAAUUGACGGGGGCCCGCACAAGCGGCGGAGCAUGCUGAUUAAUUCGAUGCAACGCGAAGAACCUUACCAAGGCUUGACAUGUUCUCGAUCGCCNUAAAAAUACGGUUUCCCCUUUGGGGCGGGUUCACAGGUGGUGCA